CGCACGAACUUAACCACUCGGCCACGGGGCCAGCCCCAAGGACGGCCAAUUUUCUAAUUACCCAGGAGCCUGUCCUGACUGCUCCACACAAGAGAUACUAUUAGAAUUUCAGAAAUGGCAUCUUUUGUGUUCUGUCAACAGCUUUGAUAAAGCCCUCUCCACAUUCUCUAAAAAUAGAGGUCUUUUUCUGUCAAAUGAGACCACAAGUAGCUUGAGGGCUCUCCCUGUCAGUUUCCUUUCACGUUCCCCACCCCUGCUCAGCUCAGGGCCUGGCUUGGGGGCAAGCUCACAGCACAAAAGGCCCUCUCCACCGCUUGCAUUUCUGCAGUAGGCUUUUCAUCUACUUCUGUCUGUGGAGGGGACUUCAGAGCUGACCCUCCUACUCACACGAUGUCGGCCUUUGCUGGCCAUAAAACUUCCCGUGAGAAAGGGAGUCUCUUGCACCAGGAAGAGAAGAACAUCCGUAUCAUCAGAGGCUGGGAAUUGAUGCUGCAAUGGAUCUGCACAAACCUAUGAGAAUAACCCUUCCCCUCCUGCAGUGUCCCUCCGCGCCCCAUCACACCUCCUAGUCACUGCCCCCCAAUUUACUGCCCCAACGCAAACCUCUUUAUCUUGUCAUUUCGUCACAGAUUUCUCAUUUCUGUGUCUAAAAGGUACAUGAGCUUUCUGCUCUGGCCAUUUCUUCGGGUCUUCAUUCUCUUGUGAGACCCUCCUAUACACGCAAAAUUCCAUUAAAACUUGUAUGCUUUUCUCCUGUU